UUACGGCCAUAUCACGUUAAAACAUCGGUUCCCGUAUGAUCACCGAAGUUAAGAAAGCUAGAGCCUGGUUGGUACCAAGAUGGGAAUACCUGGUGC